rnacentral:tRNA from 1 species
GGCCCCGUCGUCUAGCGGCCUAGGACGUCGCCCUCUCACGGCGAAAACACGGAUUCGAUUUCCGUCGGGGUCA